AACGAACGCUGGCGGCAGGCUUAACACAUGCAAGUCGAACGCCCCGCAAGGGGAGUGGCAGACGGGUGAGUAACGCGUGGGAAUCUACCUAGUUCUACGGAACAACACAGGGAAACUUGUGCUAAUACCGUAUACGCCCUACGGGGGAAAGAUUUAUCGGAAUUAGAUGAGCCCGCGUAAGAUUAGCUUGUUGGUGGGGU
rnacentral:rRNA from 1 species